rnacentral:rRNA from 1 species
UGGCGGCAUGCCUUACACAUGCAAGUCGAACGGCAGCACGGGAGCAAUCCUGGUGGCGAGUGGCGAACGGGUGAGUAAUAUAUCGGAACGUGCCCAGUCGUGGGGGAUAACGUAGCGAAAGCUACGCUAAUACCGCAUACGAUCUAUGGAUGAAAGCGGGGGAUCGCAAGACCUCGCGCGAUUGGAGCGGCCGAUAUCAGAUUAGGUAGUUGGUGAGGUAAAGGCUCACCAAGCCGACGAUCUGUAGCUGGUCUGAGAGGACGACCAGCCACACUGGGACUGAGACACGGCCCAGACUCCUACGGGAGGCAGCAGUGGGGAAUUUUGGACAAUGGGCGCAAGCCUGAUCCAGCAAUGCCGCGUGCAGGAUGAAGGCCUUCGGGUUGUAAACUGCUUUUGUACGGAACGAAACGGUGAGCUCUAAUACAGUUUGCUAAUGACGGUACCGUAAGAAUAAGCACCGGCUAACUACGUG